CGAGUAAUGUCUGGGAAACUGCCUGAUGGAGGGGGAUAACUACUGGAAACGGUAGCUAAUACCGCAUAACGUCGCAAGACCAAAGAGGGGGACCUUCGGGCCUCUUGCCAUCAGAUGUGCCCAGAUGGGAUUAGCUAGUAGGUGGGGUAAUGGCUCACCUAGGCGACGAUCCCUAGCUGGUCUGAGAGGAUGACCAGCCACACUGGAACUGAGACACGGUCCAGACUCCUACGGGAGGCAGCAGUGGGGAAUAUUGCACAAUGGGCGCAAGCCUGAUGCAGCCAUGCCGCGUGUGUGAAGAAGGCCUUCGGGUUGUAAAGCACUUUCAGCGAGGAGGAAGGUGGUGAACUUAAUACGUUCAUCAAUUGACGUUACUCGCAGAAGAAGCACCGGCUAACUCCGUGCCAGCAGCCGCGGUAAUACGGAGGGUGCAAGCGUUAAUCGGAAUUACUGGGCGUAAAGCGCACGCAGGCGGUUUGUUAAGUCAGAUGUGAAAUCCCCGGG
rnacentral:rRNA from 1 species